rnacentral:lncRNA from 1 species
AGGACUCCGCUAGCUUGUUUGGUUGCUAGGGAGGGGCCGGGCGGAGAAGAAGAGAACGUCUCCGUGCAUACCUGGUGUCCUGUAGCCAGUCCCACUUCUCUUUCGGGCUUUGAUGAUUCAUUCCCUUUCGGGCCUGCCCCGUAGUUCGCAAUACAGGGGGGCAGCACAUGGGACUGAACGCUGCCAGCGCUGGCUUGUGUUCUCCUGCCUUUGAGAAUUUGGGGAAUAAUCCUGAUUUUAAAAAAUUGGAGAUGGUAUCUUGGGCCAAAGUGCCGGGUCUGCAGCGAGCGCUGUAGCUGAGCGCUUGGGCUGUGCAGCCGCAGAUGCCCGUCCUUGCCCGUGUCUGUGCUCCGGCAGCUUUCGAUUUCGCGGGGCAAAGUCUCGGCCGCUGGGGCCAUGGAGGGACGCGCGCUCCCGCCCGGCCCCGCCCGCGGGGGCCGAGGGACGCGGGGCCGGGGUCGGGGCGGGGGCCGGGGCCGGGGCCGGGCUGCGGAGCGGCUGCCCCGGGCCCCCCAUCCCGGGCCGGCUCCGACCCCGCGCCCCGCCGGGGCCGCGGCCGCGGACGAGCGGCUGCUCCAGGCCCUGGGGGGGCUGAGCCUGGGGCCCCCGCGGGGCGGCGGCGGCGGGAGGCUGGUGCUGCUGCGGGGGCUGCCGGGCGCCGGCAAGAGCACCCUGGCCAGUUCUCUCUGCUGCUGUUGCCCGGUUCAUCCCAGCACCUCCAGUCCUGGGCCAGCUGUUACCCGCCUUACCAGCACCAGGUCCCACUGCAGAACUGCAGCUCUGACGGGUUCAUGGACUUCAGCUCUGCAGCUGUUGCCUCCCGGCAGCGUUGCACUGUAAACAUUUACCUUUGCAUGAAACCACUUCAGACAGCUGAAACGUGA